AGUUCUCAAAUUAUAAGCUGCGUGACACUUUGAUCCUUAAAUUUUAAUUUUUUACAAUUUCUAGCUUGAAUUUUUUGAAUUAUUACAAUUAAGUCUCACAAUUUAAUUUAGUUGACUAUAUUAUAACGGAUUAUUAAUAUAGAAUUGAUAUGAUAUUUUAAUUAUUGUCACAUCAUUGAUUACAUUACUUUCACAUCACUUAGAUUGUGGGACUUCAUUGUAAUAAUUCAGGCAGUUCAAGUGAGAAAUUAUAAUAAAUUAAAAUUUAAGAACCAAAAUGCCACACGUAUUAUAGUUUGAGGGCCAAAAGUGUAAUUU
rnacentral:lncRNA from 1 species